rnacentral:rRNA from 1 species
AGGACGAACGCUGGCGGCGUGCUUAACACAUGCAAGUCGAGCGGUAAGGCCUUUCGGGGUACACGAGCGGCGAACGGGUGAGUAACACGUGGGUGAUCUGCCCUGCACUCUGGGAUAAGCCUGGGAAACUGGGUCUAAUACCGGAUAUGACCUGCUCUCGCAGUGGGGGGUGGUAGGAAAGAUUUUAGUCGGUGCGAGGAGUGGGCCCCGCGGCCUAUCAGUCUUUGGUUGGUGGGGUAAUCGGCCUACCAAGGCGACGGACGGGUAGCCGACCUGAGAGGGUGACCGGCACACGUGGGACUGAGACACGGCCCAGACCUCCGUAGUGGGAGCAGCAGGUGGGAAU